rnacentral:rRNA from 1 species
GAUGAACGCUGGCGGCGUGCCUAAUACAUGCAAGUCGAGCGAACAGACGAGGAGCUUGCUCCUCUGACGUUAGCGGCGGACGGGUGAGUAACACGUGGAUAACCUACCUAUAAGACUGGGAUAACUUCGGGAAACCGGAGCUAAUACCGGAUAAUAUAUUGAACCGCAUGGUUCAAUAGUGAAAGACGGUUUUGCUGUCACUUAUAGAUGGAUCCGCGCCGCAUUAGCUAGUUGGUAAGGUAACGGCUUACCAAGUCAACGAUGCGUAGCCGACCGGAGAGGGUGAGCGGCCCCACUGGAGCGUAGACACGGUCCAGACUCCUACGGGAGGCAGCAGUAGGGAAGCUUCCGCAAUGGGCGAAAGCCUGACGGAGCAACGCCGCGUGAGUGAUGAAGGUCUUCGGAUCGUAAACCUCUGUUAGUAGGGAAGAACAAAUGUGUAAGUAACUAUGCACGUCUUGACGGUACCUAAUCAGAAAGCCACGGCUAACUACGUG